rnacentral:rRNA from 1 species
GAUGAACGCUAGCGAUAGGCUUAACACAUGCAAGUCGAGGGGCAGCGGGAAUGUUAGCAAUAACAUUUGCCGGCGACCGGCGCACGGGUGAGUAACACGUAUGCAACCUGCCCGUAGCAGGGGGAUAAGCGGAAGAAAUUCCGUCCAAUACCGCGUAAUAUCCUUUAGGGGCAUCCCUUUUGGGAUUAAAGAAAUUCGGCUACGGAUGGGCAUGCGGCGCAUUAGCUAGUUGGCGGGGUAACGGCCCACCAAGGCGACGAUGCGUAGGGGUUCUGAGAGGCUCAACGGCCACAUUGGGACUGAGAUACGGCCCAG